rnacentral:rRNA from 1 species
UGGGUCUGACCGCGUACUUCUUGCAGAACGGACCGGCGAGUUACAGUAUGUGGCGAGGUUAAGCGGUAGACGCGGAGCCGUAGCGAAAGCGAGUCUUAAUAGGGCGUAGACUAUUGUCUAAAGUCGCAUAUUGUAGACCCGAAACCGGGUGAUCUACCCAUGGCCAGGGUGAAGCGGAGCUAAUCCCCCGUGGAGGCCCGAACCACGUUGACGUUGAAAAGUCAUGGGAUGAGCUGUGGGUAGGGGUGAAAAGCCAAUCGAACCCGGAGAUAGCUGGUUCUCUCCGAAAUAGCUUUAGGGCUAGCCUCGGGAGUUAACUUAUGGAGGUAGAGCACUGAUCGGGCUAGGGGGCCUGAAAGCUUACCGAACCCUUUCAAACUCCGAAUGCCAUAAGUAUAUAUCCCGGGAGUCAGACUGCGUGCACUAAGGUUCGUAGUCGAGAGGGAAAUAGCCCAGAUCCAAAGUUAAGGUCCCAGAGUAUAGGCUAAGUGGGAAAGGAUGUGGGGUUGCACAGACAGCCAGGAUGUUGGCUUAGAAGCAGCCAUUCAUUUAAAGAGUGCGUAAUAGCUCACUGGUCAAGUGGUCCUGCGCCGAAAAUCCAACGGGGCUAAAGCCUAUCACCGAAACUUGGAUAGUAGUCUUUUAGAUUACUAGGUAGGAGAGCGUUCCCUGGCGAGCGAAGUAAGACCGUAAGGACUUAUGGACGGCAGGGAAGUGAGAAUGCCGGUAUGAGUAGCGAUAAGGCAGGUGAGAAUCCUGCCCGCCGAAAACCUAAGGGUUCCUGAGGAAGGGUCGUCCGCUCAGGGUAAGUCGGGACCUAAGCUGAGGGCGAAAGCCGUAGGCGAUGGACAAUCGGUUGAUAUUCCGAUACCACCCUGGAACCGCCCAUGGGAAUUGUAAGUACUCGGUUAUAGCUUCGGCUAUGGCAGAGGACUUAUGAGGACCAAGCAAUGGGGUGACGCAGAAGGGUAAGCCAUCAGGCGACUGGAAGUGCCUGUCUAAGGGUGUAGGAGGUGGCAUAGGCAAAUCCGUGCCACAUAUACUCCGAGGCCUAAUGGGGACGUGAAAUUAUAGUAACGGAACUGGCUGACCCCAUGCUGCCGAGAAAAGCCUCUAGCAAGGGGCCAGGGUGCCCGUACCGCAAACCGACACAGGUAGGUGGGGUGAGAAUCCUAAGGCGCGCGAGAGAACUCUCGUUAAGGAACUCGGCAAAUUGACCCUGUAACUUUGGAAGAAAGGGUGCCCUGAUAGUGUGGUAUAGGCAUGCCUUAUGCUGCAUGAGAGGGCCGCAGAGAAAAGGCCCAAGCGACUGUUUAUCAAAAACACAGGUCUCUGCUAAGUCGAAAGACGAUGUAUAGGGGCUGACGCCUGCCCAGUGCCGGAAGGUUAAGGAGAGGGGUUAGCGCAAGCGAAGCUCUGAACCGAAGCCCCGGUGAACGGCGGCCGUAACUAUAACGGUCCUAAGGUAGCGAAAUUCCUUGUCGGGUAAGUUCCGACCCGCACGAAUGGCGUAACGACUUGGGCGCUGUCUCAACGAGAGGCUCGGCGAAAUUAUAAAUACCCGUGAAGAUGCGGGUUACCCGCGACAAGACGGAAAGACCCCGUGGAGCUUUACUGUAGCCUGAGAUUGGAUUUUGGUGCGUUAUGUACAGGAUAGGUGGGAGGCUGGGAAAGGGUGACGCCAGUUGCCCUGGAGCCACUGUUGGGAUACCACCCUUAACGUGCUGGAGUUCUAACCCUUAUCCGUAAUCCGGGUGGGGGACAUUCUCUGGUGGGCAGUUUGACUGGGGCGGUCGCCUCCCAAAAGGUAACGGAGGCGCCCAAAGGUUCCCUCAGCGCGGUUGGAAAUCGCGCUCUCAGAGUGUAAAGGCAUAAGGGAGCUUGACUGCGAGAGCAACAACUCGAGCAGGAUGGAAACAUGGGCUUAGUGAUCCGGUGGCACUGCGUGGAAGGGCCAUCGCUCAACGGAUAAAAGCUACCCCGGGGAUAACAGGCUGAUUUCCCCCAAGAGUCCACAUCGACGGGGAAGUUUGGCACCUCGAUGUCGGCUCGUCGCAUCCUGGAGCUGGAGCAGGUUCCAAGGGUUGGGCUGUUCGCCCAUUAAAGCGGCACGCGAGCUGGGUUCAGAACGUCGCGAGACAGUUCGGUCCCUAUCUGUCGUGGGCGUAGGAGAUUUGAGGGGAGCCGUCCCUAGUACGAGAGGACCGGGAUGGAUGUACCGAUGGUGUACCAGUUAUUCCGCCAGGAGUAUAGCUGGGAAGCUAAGUACAGAAGGGAUAAGCGCUGAAAGCAUCUAAGCGCCAAGCCCACCCCAAGAUGAGAUCUCCCGCGGAGUAGUCCGGUAAGACCCCAGAGAGAUUAUCUGGUGGAUAGGCCGGCGGUGUAAGGAUAGCGAUAUCUUCAGCUAGCCGGUACUAAUAGGUCGAGGGCUUGACCUA